UACAGAGGAUGCAAGCGUUAUCCGGAAUGAUUGGGCGUAAAGCGUCUGUAGGUGGCUUUUUAAGUCCGCCGUCAAAUCCCAGGGCUCAACUCUGGACAGGCGGUGGAAACUACCAAGCUGGAGUACGGUAGGGGCAGAGGGAAUUUCCGGUGGAGCGGUGAAAUGCGUAGAGAUCGGAAAGAACACCAACGGGCGAAGCACUCUGCUGGGCCGACACUGACACUGAGAGACGAAAGCUAGGGGAGCGAAUGGG
rnacentral:rRNA from 1 species